AUGAAACACCAAUUCCCAUGCAAUCACCAAAGUUAAGCAAUGUUGGGCCUGGUCAGUACCUAGAUGGGUGACCACUUGGUAAAAAUGUGUGG